rnacentral:rRNA from 15 species
CCUGGUGACCAUAGCGAGCUGGAACCACCCCUUCCCAUCCCGAACAGGUCCGUGAAACAGCUCCGCGCCGAUGAUAGUGCGGAUUCCCGUGUGAAAGUAGGUCAUCGCCAGGC